rnacentral:tRNA from 1 species
GGCCAGUUAGCUCAGUCAGUAGAGUGUAGCACUAACAAUGCUAAGGUCACAGGUUCAAUUCCCGUUCAGUCCC